UGUAUAUUUUAACAGAUUUUUUCCGUAUACACGUAUUACGGGUGUUUUUCCGUUUAUAUACAUUUUCGAAUUGCAUUGUGGGAAGGGGAUCGCAGCUCAGACAGCGUUUGAUGGACACCGGGACAUAUUUCUUCCUCUGUUUUUUCCCUGUUGUUUGUCCGUAUUUUUCUAAACUGCCGUGCGCGGGAAGUGGCGUGACGUCCCAAUCACCCACUCACUCCCUCUGCACCUGACUGGAUUAACGGUAAACGUCAGUUUGUCUGUAAGAGUGUAAAAGGUUCUUUCAUUUUGGUUAUAAGUACAUGUUACAGGUAAAUUCUUAGAUUCAAUCCAAACUGAAUUUGAAUUAAUACGGACAAAUGAAAUAAAAUACACCUGGGAUUUUAAAUGUUUUCAUUUUUUUUAUUAUUCACAACGUUUGUGAAGUCUAAAUGUAGACUGUCUCAAACUGAAUGAGUGUUAUUUUUGUUGUAGGUGUGUUGGUGUAAAAAUUGAUGCUGACUGAACUCAGGCAGUUGUGCUGGACCAUCUGUACCUAAUACAGGGGAUGACAGUAAACUUCCAAGGUAAACUUCAGGGUUUUUGUUUGAUAUUGAUGCUUUUAUUUUUAUUAUUUGGCAAACCAAUUACUUGUACCUAUAUUUUUACUAAGUGUUUACAUGAACACAUUUUGCUUCAGUA